AGUUUGAUUAUGGCUCAGAUUGAACGCUGGCGGAUGCUUACACAUGCAAGUCGAACGGUGCACGGACUUCGGUCUGGUGGCGAGUGGCGAACGGGUGGCAGCCGUAUCGGAACGUGCCUAGUAGCGGGGAUAAUUCCCGCCGCGAAAGCGAAGCAAUACCGCAUACGCCCCUUCGGGGGAAAGCGGGGGACCUUCGGGCCUCGCACCAUUAGAGCGGCCGAUAUCGGAUUAGCUAGUUGGUGGGGUAAAUGGCCUCACCAAGGGCGACGAUCCGUAGCUGGUUUGAGAGGACGACCAGCCACACUGGGACUGAGACACGGCCCAGACUCCUACGGGAGGCAGCAGUGGGGAAUUUUGGACAAUGGGGGUGUCCCGAUCCAGCCAUCCUGCGUGUGCGAUAGCGCUUUCGGGUUGUAAAGCACUUUGCAGGAAGAAACGGCACGGGAUAAUACCCCGUGUAACCACGGUACCUGCAGAAUAAGCACCGGCUAAACUACGUGCCAGCAGCCGCGGUAAUACGUAGGGUGCAAGCGUUAAUCGGAAUUACCAAGGAAGCGUGCGCAGGCGGUUCGGAAAGAAAGAUGUGAAAUCCCAGAGCUUAACUUUGGAACUGCAUUUUAACUACCGAGCUAGGAGUGUGUCAGAGGGAGGUGGAAUUCCGCGUGUAGCAGGAAUGGUGUAGAUAUGCGGAGGAACACCGAUGGCGAAGGCAGCCUCCUGGGAUAACACUGACGCUCAUGCACGAAAGCGUGGGGAGCAAACAGGAUUAGAUACAAUUCUGGUAGUCCACGCCCUAAACGAUGUCAACUAGCUGUUGGGGCCUUCGGCCUCGGUAGCGCAGCUAACGCGUGAAGUUGACCGCCUGGGGAGUACGGUCGCAAGAUUAAAACUCAAAGUGAAUUGACGGGGACCCGUACGUUGGUGGAUGAUGUGGAUUAAUUCGAUGCAACGCGAAAAACCUUACCCACCCUUGACAUGUCUGGAAUCCCGAAGAGAUUUGGGGAGUGCUCGCAAGAGAACCGAACACAGGUGCUGCAUGGCUGUCGUCAGCUCGUGUCGUGAAACAAGUUAAGAAGUCCCGCAACGAGCGCAACCCUUGUCAUUAGUUGCUACGAAAGGCACUCUAAUGACUGCCGGUGACAAACCGAGGAAGGUGAUGACGCUUCAGUCUCAUAUUCCUAUGGGUAGGGGCUUCACACGUCAGUACAAUGGUCGGGACAGAGGGUCGCCAACUCCGGCGAGGGGGAGCCAAUCCCAGAAAACCCGAUCGUAGUCCGGAUCGUAGUCUGCAACCUGACUGUGUGGAAGUCGGAAUCGCUAGUAAUCGCGGAUCAGCAUGUCGCGGUGAAUACGUUCCCGGGUCUUGUACACACCGCCCGUCACACCAUGGAGUGGGUUUUACCAGAAGUAGUUAGCUCAACUGUAAGGAGGGCGAUUACCACGGUAGGAUUCAUGAUCAGUGAAGUCGUAACAAGGUAGC
rnacentral:rRNA from 1 species